rnacentral:rRNA from 1 species
GAUGAACGCUGGCGGCGUGCCUAAUACAUGCAAGUCGAGCGAACAGACGAGGAGCUUGCUCCUCUGACGUUAGCGGCGGACGGGUGAGUAACACGUGGAUAACCUACCUAUAAGACUGGGAUAACUUCGGGAAACUGGAGCUAAUACCGGAUAAUAUAUUGAACCGCAUGGUUCAAUAGUGAAAGACGGUUUUGCUGUCACUUAUAGAUGGAUCCGCGCCGCAUUAGCUAGUUGGUAAGGUAACGGCUUACCAAGGCAACGAUGCGUAGCCGACCUGAGAGGGUGAUCGGCCACACUGGAACUGAGACACGGUCCAGACUCCUACGGGAGGCAGCAGUAGGGAAUCUUCCGCAAAGGGCGAAAGCCUGAUGGAGCAACGCCGCGUGAGUGAUGAAGGUCUUCGGAUCGUAAAACUCUGUUAUUAGGGAAGAACAAAUGUGUAAGUAACUAUGCACGUCUUGACGGUACCUAAUCAGAAAGCCACGGCUAACUACGUG